GGUGUUCCGGUCUCUGCGCGCGCACAUCACCAGAUUGGGAGCCGCCGGUGCCGCUGCUGGGGUUCUCCGUCUGCUCGGGCGCGCGGGUCACGUCGGUCGCCCAGGGAGCUUCACCAGGGCACGGUGUUGCAGGGUCGGACAUCAAUCGCGACGUCCCUAGCUCCCCGCCGGUGUCGGGGAUUGAACAUGUGCCGCUGCGAGCGAAUCAGUUGGCCGCUGUCAGGAAUCUUCAACCGCUUCAACGAUUUGGUGGUGCUCGGUGGUCGGGAAGCUUCUCUGGCUCACCCCUCACAUGUGUGUGGCCUUAUUGGACAAAGAUAGCCUUCCGAGCUCGACCAAUUGCUCAUCGGUGCAAUGGCUCCACCGCGGGCGGGACCACUGCUGCAGACCCAUUUCACUCCCUUGCCAUCACCGGUAAUAUGCAUGUCCUUGUGUUCGUCAUGUCCCUUAUUACAUAUCGCACACCGUGGAUUAGGAUUUAGGGCUUGUUUGUGUAGCUUCGCCGACCUCUGGCCAUCUCUCCGCCAUGGAGGAUUGCUACGCCGCCGUGUGGUGUAUUGGGUCGGUGUGAUGAUUUUUGGGCCGUCGGAUCGGAAAUAUGCGAUCAGGAUCGACUCAAGCAUAGCGACUCAGCCAAAACCAUGGGGGCUCGUCCGAUCAGAAUCUAUGGGUCACGAUUAGAUCCCAGGCCAUGACAUCUAGCCCGUCGAUUUAACCACCUGCGGCUCCGAUUAGAUACUGGUUAGAUCUGCUCGUGGCCGUCCGAAUCUAAUCUGACGGCCCAGGCAGCCCCGUACCCCUUCGCGGAUGCAUCUUGCUAAAGAGCCCCAGGGUUUCACCGAAAUGAACCCGCCGUCCACCUCGGGUCAUGGCUGUGUCGGUAGAUUUUAUAGAAUAAACCCCGACCUUUUCUGUAUUAGUGCGCCCAGUCUAGGAAUUAAAGAAAAUAGGAAAAAGAGAGUUAGAAAUUGAUUUUGAGUAUAAAAAUAAUUAUAAAACUUGUAUAAUUCAUAGAAAAUUCAUAUUAAGUCCAAAUUAGUCCAUUCCAGUUCCUAUAAUUUUGUAAUAAUAUUGUUUAUCAGUUAGUGCCACUGUUUUUACAUGAAAUCUACAUUAAAAUUUAUAUCCUAAUUAAUCUUGUACAAAACACAUAGAAUCUUUGGAAAUCCAUAACUUAAAAUCUAUAACUCCAAAAUUAAUAAUUCAUGUUCCUGUGAUCUUAUAUCAAUAGGUAGAUUAUUAAUAUGUAUUUUACAUAUAUGUUUGGUGUGAUGUUAAUUUUGCCUAUACACUGUUUGUUUGUAUUGCUACGACUAGCGUGAGGUCACGAGUCACCUGAAGAUCAUCCUGGUACCUGGAAUCUCAAGUCCCAGGCAAGUUGUGCCCUUGAUCACUUCGUUUACCCACUCAUGUUCUAAUAAAUCAUAAUGAUCUACAUAGGUUAAUUUUGAUGGGACCUAAUAGGUUACCUUAGUUUGUCUAUCUUUAUGCCUUGUUUACCUCUAAACUUUUUGGGUAGUGCUUGCUAGUGAUAUAUGUGGUUUUGGGCAUUGAGAUAAACAUUAUUCAUGAUUAUACUUUGUUAUCAGUUGUUAUUUACUGUUCAUGAUAAGAUUAUUAUGUUAAUUGGAACAUGGAGCGACCACCCGAGAAAACAGUGCUACCACAAGGGUUUAAUGGGACGCCCUUGGCUGAUUAAUUAGGAAAGCUAGUGGAAGACUACCUCACCUGAAAGGGGCAAGGGCAGUAGGGGAGUGGUCAGUGUGGGGAGGUCCUUGGUUGAUUUUGCUGCGAUGGCGGUCAGGCGAGGGAUCCCUGCAUUGGAGCUUCCUAUAAACUGUAGCGGCUUUUCUAAAGCUAGUGGAACUUUGUAAAGGCCUCGUAGUGUUACCCUGCCUCGCUUCCUUUGUAGAGGUGUAUGGGGCCCGUACAACCCCGUGGCAAAUGGGUAACAUGACUUGUGGGUAAAGAUGCGCAACCUCUGCAGAGUGUAAAACUGGUAUACUAGCCAUGCUCACGGUCAUGAGCAGCUCGGACCCUCACAUGAUUAAUUUAUGGAACUUAAAUUCAAUUUGUCAUAUGCAUUGCAUCGCAGGUGAUGUUGUUACUUCUGUUCUACUACUUAAUUGGGUUGGUAUUUACUUAUACUUAGUAAUUGCUAAUAAAAUUUUGACCAACUUUAAAAGCAAUGCUCAGCUUCAACCAUCUCCGUUGGUAAGCUUACACUUCACAUGAGCUCCCAUCUUUGGCGAGUUCAUGCACAUUAUUCCCCACAACUUGUUGAGCAAUGAACGUAUGUGAGCUCACUCUUGCUGUCUCACACCCCCACAGGUCAAGAACAGGUACCACAGGAUGAGGCGCAUGGAGGAUGCUGCGAUAUGUUCGUGAGAGGUCUAGGCCGUCGUCUCCCAGUCAACUUUGGGUUGCUGGACCGUUGUCUCCUUAUAAUGUAAUUAUUUAUUUUGUAUAUAACUCCUAUUAUAUAGUAAAGAUGUGACAUUCGAUCCUGUGCCAUGAUUCAUCAUAUGUGUGAGACUUGGUCCCAGCACACCUGGUGAUUAUGUUCGCGCCCGGGUCUUGGUGCCCCUGAAAUCCGGGUGUGACAGAAGUGGUAUCAGAGGAAUAUUGACUGUAGGACGAAACCUAGAUAGAAUUGGACAACCAUUGCCUACUUACCUUUGCUGCUCUUAAUCUUUUCUAAACUUUUCUUAAUCUUUUCUCAUCUAUUUCUGCUUUACUCUGAUUACUCUUACCUUUUCUUUCAAAAGACAAAUGUGGAUUUCACACUUUGAAAUCUUGUGCCUAAAGUGACUUUAGGAAUAGGAGACCUACUCUUAGGAAUAAAAACAAAUUUUUUUAGUAUCUAUGUGCUGCAAUGUUUGUUCUUAUGAUACUUGUCUGAUUUGGAUCUUUGAUUGAGUGUGAUGAGUUGUGGAGUAAUGUCCACAAUUACAUCUGCAUAUACAUAUAGGAAAAAAAUGCUCAUCAAAAUAACUAGAUUAUCUCUCAUUAAAAUAUCUAGCCUAACUAUAUCCAUCUCGUCUUAAAAGACUCUACCCUACACUUAUAGAUCCAUCUUACCUUAAAAGAUACUCUAUUACCUUAGUAGAUCCACCUAACUUAAAUUAGUCUAAUCUAGUUAUAUCCAACCUAAUCUAGAUUCUAUGUAAUCUAAUAUGGUCCAAUCUAAAGUGCGUUAUUAACAGGUUAGUUAAGUUGGUGAUAUAGGUUAGACACUGUCUCUACAAACAUAUCUUAACCUAAAUUAAUGUCUUAUACCAACCCGUCCGUAAACAACAACAUAACCUACGUCACAGGCUACAUAGUCCAUUUGUUCCAAAACGCAAAGUAAAACUCUGUUCAAACUUACCUACCUCGUGUACCCCGGCUAUCCUAACUAUAUGUCCUUAACUCGGAUGGCAACUCCAAGAAGAAAGGCCAAAGAAGACCAACCACAUCAAAGAAGGAUAAGCAUCAACUCUAGUCUUCAAAGAUCAAGUUGAAUCGCCAGCAAAAUCAAGAUCCACAGUUCUGGAUGAAGUCUUUCCUUAUUAUACUCUUCCUUGCCACAACCUAUACUUGCCAUAACCGUACCUCAUCUGACAUAAUAAAUGGCUAGACAGAUGUAUAUCCAUAUUUUCCAAAUCAUCUACUAACGUGUAUAAAAUAACUUCAAACAAAACUUUUGAUUCCUAAACUAAAUUUCAAACCAAACUGGUUGCAUCCCUUUUUCUUACAAAUCUCGAGGACAAGAUUUCUGUUAAGGGGGUAGGUUUUGUAAAACCCGAAUUGGGUAGAAAAUAAUAAUAAUAAUAAUAAUAAUAAUAAAUAAAAUAAAUAAACAAAUAUAUUUAUGAUAGUGUUUUGAGAAUUGUUGAAAACCCUUAAAUGAGAAUAUAACAUAACUUCUUUCAAAAUAAAUAGAUAAUGAACAUUUAUUCUUGAAGUAACCUCUAAUUGUUAUCCCACAUCCAAAAUUCUAUUUUCCUAAAAAGAAAGUAAUAAUAUGAGUGUGUUUCAAACAUCUACCAAACAAAUAAAGUAAUUAAAAUAAAUAUUGUAUAAUGAUUGAUUUUGAGUGCAUAUUGAAAACAUUUGCAUAAAUAAAUAAAAUGUUAGAUAAAUCACUAUCAUAAAUUAUAUUGUGCAUGCUGGAUUCCUUUGAAUGGGCAUUAUAAUUGAGUUUGAUAAUUUAGAUCUUGUUUGAAUUCAGUUUGAAAAAGAAAUGGAAAAACAGAAAUUAAACAAAAAAAGAGCAUGGCAACCUCGCCUGGGCCGAUUCUCCCCCACCUGCGGCCCACCUCCACUUUUAGCCCCCGCGCCAGCCCACUAAUCGGCUAGCCCAUCUCCCACGCAGCACCCUCCGCGUACUCCAUCCGUCUCACAGCGAUUUGGCCGGGUGCGUGCGCAGACGCUUCACGGUGGGCCCUACCUAUCAUAGCCAUCUCCUUGCUUGGACUCGUCUCAAUUGGAUUCCGUCGUUCUCGCGUGGACAGCGCAACAGAAUCCGAGCUUCGCGGCGGGAUCAAGUCUUCAGAGUCCGACUCCAAGCUAUAUAUAACCAUACCCUCAUCCAGCCGCACCCAUAGGCAUUGGGUGUUCCGGUCUCUACGCGCGCACUUCACUAGAUUGGGAGCCGCCGGUGCCGCUGCUGGGGUUCUCCGUCUGCUCGGGCGCGCGGGUCACGUCGGUCGCCCAGGGAGCUUCAGCUGGGCGCGGUGUUGCGGGGUCGGACAUCAAUCGUGACGUCCCUAGCUCCCCACCGGUGUCGGGGAUUGAACAUGUGCCGCUGCGAGCGAAUCAGUUGGCCGUUGUCAGGAAUCUUCAACCGCUUCAACGAUUUGGUGGUGCUCGGUGGUCGCGAAGCUUCUUUGGCUCACCCCUCACAUGUGUGUGGCCUUAUUGGACAGAGAUAGCCUUCCGAGCUCGACCAAUUGCUCAUCGGUGCAAUGGCUCCACCACGGGCGGGACCACUGCUGCAGACCCGUUUCACUCCCUUGCCAUCACCGGUAAUAUGCAUGUCCUUGUGUUCGCCAUGUCCCUUAUUACAUAUCGCACACCGUGGAUUAGGAUUUAGGGCUUGUUUGUGUAGCUUCGCCGACCUCCGGCCAUCUCUCCGCCGUGGAGGAUUGUUGCGCCGCCGUGUGGUGUAUUGGGUCGGUGUGAUGAUUUUUGGGCCGUCGGAUCGGAAAUAUGCGACCAGGAUCGACUCAAGCAUAGCGACUCAGCCAAAACCAUGGGGGCUCGUCCGAUCAUAAUCUAUGGGUCAUGAUUAGAUCCCAGACCAUGACAUCUAGCCCGUCGAUUUAACUACUUGCGGCUCCAAUUAGAUACUGGUUAGAUCUGCUCGUGGCCGUCCGAAUCUAAUCUGACGGCCCAGGCAGCCCCGUACCCCUUCGCGGAUGCAUCUUGCUAAAGAGCCCAUGGGUUUCACCGAAAUGAACCCGUCGUCCACCUCGGGUCAUGGUUGUGUCGGUAGAUUUUAUAUAAUAAACCCCGACCUUCUCUGUAUUAGUGCGCCCAGUCCAGGAAUUAAAGAAAAUAGGAAAAAGAGAGUUAGAAAUUGAUUUUGAGUAUAAAAAUAAUUAUAAAACUUGUAUAAUUCAUAGAAAAUUCAUAUUAAGUCCAAAUUAGUCCAUUCCAGUUCCUAUAAUUUUGUAAUAAUAUUGUUUAUCAAUUAGUUCCACUGUUUUACAUGAAAUCUACAUUAAAAUUUAUAUCCUAAUUAAUCUUGUACAAAACACAUAGAAUCUUUGGAAAUCCAUAACUUAAAAUCUAUAACUCCAAAAUUAAUAAUUCAUGUUCCUGUGAUCUUAUAUCAAUAGGUAGAUUAUUAAUAUGUAUUUUACAUAUAUGUUUGGUGUGAUGUUAAUUUUGCCUAUACACUGUUUGUUUGUAUUGCUAAGACUAGCGUGAGGUCACAAGUCACCUGAAGAUCAUCCUGGUACCUGGAAUCUCAAGUCCCAGGCAAGUUGUGCCCUUGAUCACUUUGUUUACCCACUCAUGUUCUAAUUAAUCAUAAUGAUCUGCAUAGGUUAAUUUUGAUGGGACCUAAUAGGUUACCUUAGUUUGUCUAUCUUUAUGCCUUGUUUACCUCUAAACUUUUUGGGUAGUGCUUGCUAGUGCUAUAUGUGGUUUUGGGCAUUGAGAUAAACAUUAUUCAUGAUUAUACUUUGUUAUCAGUUGUUAUUUACUGUUCAUGAUAAGAUCAUUAUGUUAAUUGGAACAUAGAGCGACCACCCGAGAAAACAGUGCUACCACAAGGGUUUAAUGGGACGCCCUUGGCUGAUUAAUUAGGAAAGCUAGUGGAAGACUACCUCACCUGAAAGGGGCAAGGGCAGUAGGGGAGUGGUCAGUGUGGGGAGGUCCUUGGUUGAUUUUGCUGCGAUGGCGGUCAGGCGAGAGAUCCCUGCAUUGGAGCUUCCUAUAAACUGUAGCGGCUUUUCUGAAGCUAGUGGAACUUUGUAAAGGCCUCGUAGUGUUACCCUGCCUCGCUUCCUUGGUAGAGGUGUAUGGGGCCUAUACAACCCCGUGGCAAAUGGGUAACAUGACUUGUGGGUAAAGAUGCGCAACCUCUACAGAGUGUAAAACUAGUAUACUAGCCGUGCUCACGGUCAUGAGCAGCUCGGACCCUCACAUGAUUAAUUUAUGGAACUUAAAUUCAAUUUGUCAUAUGCAUUGCAUCGCAGGUGAUGUUGUUACUUCUGUUCUACUACUUAAUUGGGUUGGUAUUUACUUAUACUUAGUAAUUGCUAAUAAAAUUUUGACCAACUUUAAAAGCAAUGCUCAGCUUCAACCAUCUCCGUUGGUAAGCCUUAAACUUCACAUGAGCUCCCAUCUUUGGCGAGUUCAUGCACAUUAUUCCCCACAACUUGUUGAGCAAUGAACGUAUGUGAGUUCACUCUUGCUGUCUCACACCCCCCACAGGUCAAGAACAGGUACCACAGGAUGAGGCGUAUGGAGGAUGCUGCGAUAUGUUCGUGAGAGGUCUAGGCCAUCGUCUCCCAGUCAACUUUGGGUUGCUGGACCGUUGUCUCCUUAUAAUGUAAUUAUUUAUUUUGUAUAGAACUCCUAUUAUAUAGUAAAGAUGUGACAUUCGAUCA
rnacentral:lncRNA from 1 species